UACGCAUUAGUGUGUUGUGACGAUUCAAUGAUUCGUACCUCUGUUCGGUUAAAGUGAUGUGAAGCAAUCUUAACAUCGAUCCUGCGCGUAAACAACGUGUUAAAUAUUGCUCAAGCUUUCUUUAGGUACGUUCAUUGCGCUUUGCUUAGCGCCAGCAGGCAAGCAAACACCUGGCGUUAUGUGCUGGUUUAUGCACUUGAAGCAAAACAUCUGCCGCCAGCUGGCCAUGUUAGCGACAUCCACCAAUACGAACAUAGCUUUUUUUGUCAAUAUUUGAUCACAUUUGUUAGUUUUGCUGUUGUUUAGCGCACCACACCCAUUGAUCUUGGCACCGAUCUAGCACCAGAAGGCUUACCCUGCAACUGGAGCCAUGUUCUAAAUUUGGCAACAACGAAUCUCUCCCCCCGGGGUGAUCGAUUUCCGUAAAAGGAAGUACUUUUUGGACGUGAUCCAACGGAUGUGAAAAACUACAAAAAAGGGGUGUACAGCGUGUGUAAGUUGCGUCGAAUUAUCAACACUGUUUCGAUAUCUUUACGAGCGAUCUCGUUCUUCCCACUUGGCGUGGUGUAUUGCAAAGUCACUAAAACUCGAGAUGGUAACCAUACAAAAAGACCUUGCACGGUACGGUGGGACGAUAUCUAGGUAGGUGGUACUCGGUCUCUACGUUCUUGAUAGGCCUACUUGAUGCGAACGACGAUCGCACAAUUCGACGACCGUGUGCUGAGCUGAUGAGCUCAUAAUCUUCACACAUACGCACCUCUUUCGGCACCUGGACGGUGGUACGUUGAUUAUUUGCAGAGGACGGUAAUCUGGUCAAAGUAUUGAUAAGGCACUCGAUGACGACGUAAACGAUGAACAGAUUUUCGAUUAUAAAUUAAGGCACUAUUUGCAGCAAAAGUUAAAUAAACAAAAAAAAAGUUAUUUCAUC